UACGUAGGGUGCGAGCGUUGUCCGGAAUUACUGGGCGUAAAGAGCUCGUAGGUGGUUUGUCGCGUUGUUCGUGAAAUCUCACGGCUUAACUGUGAGCGUGCGGGCGAUACGGGCAGACUAGAGUACUGCAGGGGAGACUGGAAUUCCUGGUGUAGCGGUGGAAUGCGCAGAUAUCAGGAGGAACACCGGUGGCGAAGGCGGGUCUCUGGGCAGUAACUGACGCUGAGGAGCGAAAGCGUGGGGAGCGAACAGGAUUAGAUACCCUGGUAGUCCACGCCGUAAACGGUGGGUACUAGGUGUGGGUUUCCUUCCUUGGGAUCCGUGCCGUAGCUAACGCAUUAAGUACCCCGCCUGGGGAGUACGG
rnacentral:rRNA from 1 species